rnacentral:rRNA from 1 species
UACGAAGGGGCUAGCGUUGUUCGGAAUUACUGGGCGUAAAGCGCGUGUAGGCGGGUCUUUAAGUCAGGGGUGAAUGCCAGGCUCAACCUUGGAACUGCCUUUGAUACUGGAGACUUGAGUCCGGGAGAGGUGAGUGGAAUUGCGAGUGUAGAGGUGAAAAUUCGUAGAUAUUCGCAAGAACACCAGUGGCGAAGGCGGCUCACUGGCCCGGAACUGACGCUGAGACGGCGAAAGCGUGGGGAGCAAACAGGG